rnacentral:piRNA from 2 species
UAAGAUUGGACCCAGUACACUGCC